GGUGAAACCUGCCCAGUGCGCUAGUAAACGGCCGCAGUACCUUGACUGUGCUAAGGUAGCAUAAUCAGUUGGCUUUUAAAUGGAGUCGGGUAUGAAUGGGACAAUGUGGCUAAGCUGUCUUUUUUCUACUAAAUUUAAUUUACUUAUCAGGUGAAAAUUCCUGAAUUUCUAAGAAAAUAGACGAGAAGACCCUAGGAGUUUUAAUUAAUGUUAUUUUUUUAUUAACUUGUGUUUUUGUUGGGGCGACAGAAGGAAAAAACAUGAUCUCCUUUUAUAAAUAAGCCGACUAAGUAAGAAAAAAUAAACUACCCUAGGGAUAACAGCGUAAUCUAUUAUUAGGUUUGCGACCUCGAUGUUGGACUAGGAUUUAUUUAGGUUAGCCGCCUAAUUUUAUUGUUCUGUUCGAACUUCAAUUCCU
rnacentral:rRNA from 1 species